CCUACGGGGUGCAGCAGUGGGGAAUAUUGGACAAUGGGCGAAAGCCUGAUCCAGCCAUGCCGCGUGUGUGAAGAAGGCCUUCGGGUUGUAAAGCACUUUCAGUGGGGAAGAAAGCCUUGGGGCUAAUACCCUCGAGGAAGGACAUCACCCACAGAAGAAGCACCGGCUAACUCCGUGCCAGCAGCCGCGGUAAUACGGCGGGUGCGAGCGUUAAUCGGAAUUACUGGGCGUAAAGCGCGCGUAGGCGGUCUGAUAAGCCGGUUGUGAAAGCCCCGGGCUCAACCUGGGAACGGCAUCCGGAACUGUCAGGCUAGAGUGCAGGAGAGGAAGGUAGAAUUCCCGGUGUAGCGGUGAAAUGCGUAGAGAUCGGGAGGAAUACCAGUGGCGAAGGCGGCCUUCUGGACUGACACUGACGCUGAGGUGCGAAAGCGUGGGUAGCAAACAGGAUUAGAUACCCUAGUAGUC
rnacentral:rRNA from 1 species